rnacentral:rRNA from 1 species
UACGUAGGGUGCGAGCGUUAAUCGGAAUUACUGGGCGUAAAGCGUGCGCAGGCGGUUGGGAAAGAUAGAUGUGAAAGCCCUGGGCUCAACCUAGGAAUUGCAUUUGUGACUAUUCGACUAGAGUACGGUAGAGGGGAGUGGAAUUCCGCGUGUAGCAGUGAAAUGCGUAGAUAUGCGGAGGAACACCGAUGGCGAAGGCAGCUCCCUGGACCUGUACUGACGCUCAUGCACGAAAGCGUGGGGAGCAAACAGG